UGAAAACUAACGGUAAUGGCACACAAGGGAGUGGAAAUUAGAAUUGACGGAAGUGAAGGGAGUCUUUAAAUUUGGAUGGCAAAUAGGGGAUUGUUAUAAAUUCCGAUAGCAUACAUGAAAUUUACUUUUUUUUUUCCGGCCGAGAUUGAAGCCGCCUACUGCCGUAGGCUGCUGUUUGCGUCGUUGCUUUUGUUGAGCAGCAACAGCAUAGCCUGCCUGCUCAGUCUGGC
rnacentral:lncRNA from 1 species